rnacentral:tmRNA from 1 species
GGGGGUGAUUGGCUUCGACGCUGAUUGCGAAACUCCGGGAGCAUGCCGAGGUGUAGAAUUCCUCGUAAAUCCGUCUACACAACAAUAGUUGCCAACGACGACAACUACGCGCUAGCCGCUUAAACGGACUAGCCCUUUCGCCGGUUCUGCCUGUAGGGUCGGAUUUGAAGGGUCAAACCAUACAGGAUCGCUCGCCGGUUGUGCCUGUUAACCGGCUGCUAAAGGCAAGCAGGCUCGCCUUGUCAUUUGGGCUGUCCGACGACUGGAUGCAAGGCUAAAUUAAUGUUCGGACUAAGCAUGUAGCCGCCUGUAGCGUAGAAUUUGCGGACGCGGGUUCGAUCCCCGCCACCUCCACCA